AACGAACGCUGGCGGCAUGCCUAACACAUGCAAGUCGAACGAGACCUUCGGGGCUAGUGGCGCACGGGUGCGUAACGCGUGGGAACCUGCCCUUAGGUUCGGAAUAACUCCCCGAGAGGGGUGCUAAUACCGGAUAAUGUCUUCGGACCAAAGAUUUAUCGCCUUUGGAUGGGCCCGCGUGGGAUUAGCUAGUUGGUAGGGUAAAAGCCUACCAAGGCGACGAUCCAUAGCUGGUCUGAGAGGAUGAUCAGCCACACUGGCACUGAGACACGGCCCAGACUCCUACGGGAGGCAGCAGUGGGGAAUAUUGGAAAAUGGGCGAAAGCCUGAUCCAGCAAUGCCGCGUGAGUGAUGAAGGCCUUAGGGUUGUAAAGCUCUUUUACCCGGGAUGAUAAUGACAGUACCGGGAGAAUAAGCUCCGGCUAACUCCGUG
rnacentral:rRNA from 1 species